rnacentral:rRNA from 1 species
AGUGAACGCUGGCGGUAGGCCUAACACAUGCAAGUCGAACGGCAGCACAGUAAGAGCUUGCUCUUACGGGUGGCGAGUGGCGGACGGGUGAGGAAUACAUCGGAAUCUACUUUUUCGUGGGGGAUAACGUAGGGAAACUUACGUUAAUACCGCAUACGACCUACGGGUGAAAGCAGGGGAUCUUCGGACCUUGCGCGAUUGAAUGAGCGGAUGUCGGAUUAGCUAGUUGGCGGGGUAAAGGCCCACCAAGGCGACGAUCCGUAGCUGGUCUGAGAGGAUGAUCAGCCACACUGGAACUGAGACACGGUCCAGACUCCUACGGGAGGCAGCAGUGGGGAAUAUUGGACAAUGGGCGCAAGCCUGAUCCAGCCAUACCGCGUGGGUGAAGAAGGCCUUCGGGUUGUAAAGCCCUUUUGUUGGGAAAGAAAAGCAGCAGGUUAAUACCCCGCUGUUCUGACGGUACCCAAAGAAUAAGCACCGGCUAACUUCGUG